rnacentral:rRNA from 1 species
GACGAACGCUGGCGGCGUGCUUAACACAUGCAAGUCGAACGGAAAGGCCCUGCUUUUGUGGGGUGCUCGAGUGGCGAACGGGUGAGUAACACGUGAGUAACCUGCCCUUGACUCUGGGAUAACUUCAGGAAACUGGGGCUAAUACCGGAUAGGAGCUCCUGCUGCAUGGUGGGGGUUGGAAAGUUUCGGCGGUUGGGGCUGGACUCGCGGCUUAUCAGCUUGUUGGUGGGGUAGUGGCUUACCAAGGCUUUGACGGGUAGCCGGACUGAGAGGGUGACCGGCCACAUUGGGACUGAGAUACGACCCAGACUGCUACGGGAGGCAGCAGUGGGGAAUAUUGCACGAUGGGCGGAAGCCUGAUGCAGCAACGCCGCGUGCGGGAUGACGGCCUUCGGGUUGUAAACCGCUUUCGCCUGUGACGAAGCGUGAGUGACGGUAAUGGGUAAAGAAGCACCGGCUAACUACGUG